UACGUAGGCAGCGAGCGUUGUUCGGAGUUACUGGGCGUAAAGGGUGUGUAGGCGGUCCCUUAAGUUUGGUGUGAAAUCUCCCGGCUCAACUGGGAGGGUGCGCCGGAUACUGAGGGGCUAGAGUGCGGGAGGGGAAAGUGGAAUUCCUGGUGUAGCGGUGAAAUGCGUAGAUAUCAUGAGGAAGACCAGUGGCGAAGGCGGAUCUCUGGACAGUUCCUGACACUGAGGCACGAAGGCCAGGGGAGCGAACGGG
rnacentral:rRNA from 1 species